rfam:Pristionchus pacificus strain PS312 contig3621, whole genome shotgun sequence.
UCUUCAUUCUUCACACUAUCUCACCGGUCUGAGGGGCGAGAGAGUGUGAAAAAUGAAGAAA